ACGGCUUUAAACAGAAAAUAAUAGGAAUAUAGAAUAAAUAAAAGAAUGUUGAAUUCUAGAAAGCCUUAACAUUGGAAGAAUAUGGUAUAGUGCUUAAGAAAGAACAAGUCAAUGACAAGCACAUACACUACUUGGACAUCAAUGUAAGAAUGGAAGGAGUUGGGAUACAGACUUCUGUCUAUAGAAAGAAAACCUACCAUCUGAUCCUAAUUCUGUGGUGGUCUGUGGACACAAUAGCCUACAAAGCAGCAGCAUUCAACUUUUAUUUCAGGAGAGCAUAUAACUACAUAGCUGAGGACCGUGAGCUAAAGAGCUCGAUUAUAUAUAUAAAAUGGGUUAUGAGCACGGAUAUAGUAAAAGUUUCCUACGUAAUAUACACUGUAAGAUUAGGAAACCCCUAGAGAGAGAGGAAGGAACGCCAAUCAACCUGAAAAGGAAAAGGAGAGAUACUUAACUGUACCAUACCAGACCAGUAAACUAAAUGUUGUAAGGGAGAUCAUACGCAAAACCAAAAGAGAAAUAGCUGCUGCUAGGCCACCAACACUCUUCAACACUCUCUGAAAUGAAAAAGACCCGCAGAUCCAGUAUGAGAUCCCUGGAUCCGCAGGUCUUUAUAACAUACCAAUUAAUUACCCUACCGAAAAUAGAAAAGCCAGCUACAUUGGCGUUACAAUGAGAACGCUUGCAUAGAGAAUAGUAGAACAUAAAACAGAUAUUAGAACGGGUAGAAUGAACACGGUGCUGGCAGAAGAAGCAUAUACUAAGAAUGUACAGAUAGAAUGGAACCAAGCUAGGAUAGUAAAACCAAUUGCUUUGGCAGCACAAGCAACUUUACAAGAAACUAUGGAAAUAACUGUAGGUAAGCAU
rnacentral:lncRNA from 1 species